UCCAUUGUUUAGAAGAAAGAAAGAAAAUGUGUUCGCUUGCCCUGCCCUCAUUCCCCAUCCGCACAUCCCUCUCCCUCACUCGUCUGCCGCCGCCACCACCACCACCGGCGACCUCCUCCAUGGUUGCCACCCCACCCCCUUCUCUCCCCCAUUACCUUCUCCUCAUCAGCGACCUCCUUCCCUCCCCCUCACCGGAUCCGAGGCGUGCGGGCGCGGAGGCGAGCUUCUUCAGCGGUGUCCGCCUCCCUCUCAUCUCCUCUGCUACUGCUCCGCCUCUCCAACCGCCCCGGGUCGCAGCCGCACCGCACGACGGCAGGCCAGGCGAGCUGCACCGCACCAGGUGGGCUAGGGCGAUCUCCAACGCGAGCGCGCGCACCCGUUGCCCACGCCAGCGUGGUCCCCGGCCCCGAGCAACAGGAACACAUGGUCCCUACCCGGGUCGCCGUAGCCGACACCGUCAAAGAGGGGUGGCGGUGUGGACAAGGACGCCAUGGCUGUCUUCGCCGAGAGCGUCCGCAUCUUCAUCCACUGUCUCUCCACCAUGACCAUGAGUAGGGUUGCUCAUCAUUAAGAAGUGUGUUUGUUCAUGGAUAGUUGCACAGUGGAGGAAGAAUUUGGUUAUUUGGAGUGUGCACUGGAGUUAUUGGAAGAUAAUUCCAUUACUAGAUCACAACUUUUGGGACAUAAGUACAGAAGGUGUUUGAUGAAAGUUCAGCAACAUCCAAGCAUGCUCAACUCCAGUUCGCCAACACUCAAAAUUUAAACAAAACGAGAACAUCGAGUGUGCACUACUGAUGCCAUCAUGAAAGGUUUCCCUACAAAUAAAAACCAUAAGUUUCAGAAAUACGACAAGAAAGGUCAUGGGUAAGACAAGACAGCAGAUGGCUUUGUUUAUCAAUCAAGGCAUUAUUAUGUCACCAUGAACAUUGGGGAUCCGGCCAAGCCUUACUUCCUGGGUAGCCCAAGUUUGCUUGACUGUUGGUUGUGCAGUCCUUUAUUCUGUAACUGUACCUUGACUAUCAAGGCAUGCAGUGCCAUUUGUUUCUUGUAAACUUGUCUUACCUUUCAUGCAUUUGUCUGUUUAGAUAUUGUAAUUUGAUUUCCCGCUUCUCCGUAGAACAAAGGAGGAGGUAUGGCAUGCAAUCUAUUGGAAAUGUGUUGAUGUACUUCUUAACAGGAAGGUUGUUGACAAUAACCACACGUAAUUUUCUGGCAUCUAUGCUAUUCUCUGUACUAACACAUGCUGGUGUUGCUGUCAGUCUUCCAUGGCAGGUCUGAAAGUUGGGAAUAGAAGCAUAAAUAUGAGAAAAUCAACGAAAUAAAAAUUGCUACCAUUUAGGCAUCUUAUUUAUUGUAUUCUCUUACAUGUAGGUCCUCUGUCAUGAAUAUCCUACUGAAUUUGCAUCUUAUUUUCAUUACUACCGCUCACUGCGUUAUGAAAAUACGUCAGACUAUCAGAUCUCAAGAAAUUGUUCUGCUUGAGAGUGCAGAUGGCGUAAGGCAGGAAAGGAAAAAGGCUUUUUGUGGUGAUCGGGAUCAAUACCGCCUUCGGUAGCAAGAAGCGUCGUGAUUCUGUCAGGGGGGCCUGGAUGCCUCAAGGUGAGAAACUCAAGAAAUUGGAAGAGGAAAGGGGAGUCGUCAUUUGAUUUAUGACCGCUUCAUUUCGUGUUUCCUCUGUGUGGUGUGAGGUGCGUGUUGUUUUGAGAGCUUGAAGCAAGCAGAACGCCUAAGGAGCGUCCUGGGGAUGACAGAGGCAUUGGCGACGACAUCAGGCGAGAGAUGAAGACGACAUCGAUCAAGAGCUGCUUGCACAACCAGAGGCGGCAUGGGCUCAACGCAAGUGGACCAUCAUCCAGCACGUCUUGUUCCCGUCCAUGCGACAUUUCCUCAUACAUGAGGGCUACAUCAUUUACAAAUUUUGAUUAUGUACGCCUACAAGGUAUUUGUUGAAAAUCCCAGAGGGCUGGCAGGGAAGGAGUGGUCUAUAUAAGCCAUGUGAUUCCAUUCUUCAAAAAAUCAGUACCAGACAAUCAUAACAAGAUGAUUUUGAGAUUAACGAGAAUCCAUGAGAUGAAUAAAAGUAUGAAGAAACAAGGAAUUCUGUCACAGGAGAAACUGUGGUACAACACUUCAACACGGCACAGGAGGCAGAUCAGGGCAACUUCAAGGAUAAGGCAACAUCUGCAGACCUGGAGGUGGUUGAGGUGACCUUGCUGUUGGAGUGGUUUGCCGAUUAUCGGCAGUUUGGUUGCACGCUGGAGCUUAUCACAAACAACACACAGGAUCUCAGUUCUGUACGGGCUAUGGUGGGAUAGGAGGGAUCCUGCGCUACCGGGUUGAGGUGAACGCUUACGAAGACAUACUUGAUAAGGAGUAUGAUGAAGACUUUGAAGACCAGUCAACUGAAACUCCAGUGAAUUCAGUACAGGAGGAGCAUGUCCUAGCCCGGAACCGGAACGCGCUACGCGCCACAGCAGGAGGCUGAGGCAUCUACAAGCUCAUCGAGGAAAGCUUAAGGAAGACAACGAGAAGACUUGAGAAAUGAUGAUAUAAAGUAUGCUGCUGUUGCAUGAGUUAAGUCCUCUCAGCGUGAUUGGGAGGUAUCUAGACAAAUCUAAGACAAGUAAUUUGGGAUGGAGGUAAUACAAACCAAAGUAAUUUGCCCAACAAUCACCAAGCCACAUACAUGCGACAUUGUACCGAGUAGGCAAUCCAACUUUCUUUUGACAGUGAGUAGGAAAAAAAUGGCAUGACUUCAAGUGCGACCACUAGAACUGUGUGAGAUACCCUUUUUUGUAAUAGAUGAUGCGUCAUCAACACAUCCUGAUAGUGAGCUGUGUUUGAACCUAUGGAGAUUGCUUCUGUAGACAAGCUUUACAAGAUCUUCGAGAGAGGCCAGCUAACACGUAGGCCAUCAGUCACUCCAUAUGUAGAGAAGGGAUGGACAGCGCGACUGACGCCUUUGCUGGUUCCUUCUGGCACGUGUAUAUAUAAUGUGGUGGCACUAUCAAAGUUGAAGUACUGAUUGUGCCCAUUCCAAAUGAACUGUUUCUCUGAACUUUGUUCUUAAAUAGACACAUCGGGUCAUCCCUCCUCGGUAAAGGGGUUAGUUUGUUUGUUCUUUCAUCAGCUCACUCCAAGCUUGAUUACAUGGAGCAUUAUGAAAAGGUUCCUUGGA